GACGAACGCUGGCGGCGUGCCUAAUACAUGCAAGUAGAACGCUGAAGAGAGGAGCUUGCUCUUCUUGGAUGAGUUGCGAACGGGUGAGUAACGCGUAGGUAACCUGCCUUGUAGCGGGGGAUAACUAUUGGAAACGAUAGCUAAUACCGCAUAACAAUGGCUGACACAUGGCAUUUAUUUGAAAGGGGCAAUUGCUCCACUACAAGAUGGACCUGCGUUGUAUUAGCUAGUAGGUGAGGUAAUGGCUCACCUAGGCGACGAUACAGAGCCGACCUGAGAGGGAGAUCGGCCACCCUGGGACUGAGACACGGCCCAGACUCCUACGGGAGGCAGCAGUAGGGACUCUUCGGCAAGGGGGGCGACCCUGACCGAGCAACGCCGCGGGAGUGAAGAAGGUUUUCGGAUCGUAAAGCUCUGUUGUAAGUCAAGAACGGGUGUGAGAGUGGAAAGUUCACACUGUGACGGUAGCUUACCAGAAAGGGACGGCUAACUACGUG
rnacentral:rRNA from 1 species